AGGGGCGGGGGCGGCGGAAGGGGAAGGCAGAAGGUGGCCGCGGCCAAGGGCACCGCGCCGCGCGGCUGCGUGCUGAGGGAGCCAGGCUGACCCUCGCAGAACCACCCCCCCUGCCCCGCCCUUAGUUCAGAAGGGAGCCCAGGUUAUCCCCGUGCUUCCUUCUUGGGGAUGGCAGUCUGGGGGACGCGGCGGUUUGCUUUUCUAGACCCUUCAGUCCUCCUUAAGGUUAGCGCCCUCCCUCCGAGGCUACCUAUGUAAGGUUCACCCUGGUGCGCGGUGGUUGCUCGUUGUCUCCCCCAUUCGAUUCAGUCAAAUUCAAUACAUAGUUAUUAUUGGAAGUAGUUAGAUGGUUCAGUGGGCAGAGCACUGAGCCUAGUACGAAUCCGGCCUCAGACACUAGGCAAUUCAUUUAACCUCUGUUUGCCUUAAUCUGCUGGAGAAGGAAAUGGCAAACCACUCCAGGAUCUUUGCCAAGAAAACUCCGUGGCGUGGCGUGGCGUGGUCUGCGGGGUCACGAAGAGUCGGACGCGAGUGGGACUGUGAGCUCCUGGGGCUGGGAAACAGUCCAGGAAGAGUCACCCCAAAAUCACACAGUGAAGAACAGAGGUGAAAUGUGAAACCAGCCCUGACUUCAAAUCCAACACCACACUGCUUAUUUUACAGAAAUGAUCAAUUCCUGAAGCCAGUCUUUUUUAAUCUUUGUAAUCCUAUUACCUUGCAUUGUUCUAAUACAAGGCAGGAUCUUGACAAAUUUUUUAAAAAGAUUUAGAUAUUUACAGCAUUCUAAUAUCCCUUCUAAUCUUGGUUAAUUCAAUUUCAAAUCAAUAAACCAAGCAUUUAUUAAGA